rnacentral:rRNA from 1 species
GAUUUCUGGCCUGCAACCCUUGGCCGGCCACGGUUUCGUGUGUUAGUGCCUCGUGUUCUGGCCAUCCUUCCAAUCGCUCCGCACCCAUCUUCAUUGAUGGGGGCGCAGUAUUGGAUCUUUUACUUUGAAAAAAUUAGAGUGUUUCAAGCAGGCUUUAUGCUAUGAAUACAUUAGCAUGGAAUAAUAAUUUAGGACUUCGGUUCUAUUUUGUUGGUUUCUAGGACUGAAGUAAUGAUUGAUAGGGAUAGUUGGGGGUGCUAGUAUUCAGCGGCCAGAGGUGAAAUUCUCGGAUUCGCUGAAGACUAACUUAUGCGAAAGCAUU